rnacentral:rRNA from 1 species
AUUGAACGCUGGCGGCAGGCCUAACACAUGCAAGUCGAACGAGUGGCGGACGGGUGAGUAAUGUCUGGGAAACUGCCCGAUGGAGGGGGAUAACUACUGGAAACUGUAGCUAAUACCGCAUACCAUCGGAUGAGCCCAGGUGGGAUUAGCUAGUUGGUGGGGUAACGGCUCACCAAGCCGACGAUCCCUAGCUGGUCUGAGAGGAUGACCAGCCACACUGGAACUGAGACACGGCCCAGACUCCUACGGGAGGCAGCAGUGGGGAAUAUUGCACAAUGGGCGCAAGCCUGAUGCAGCCAUGCCGCGUGUAUGAAGAAGGCCUUCGGGUUGUAAAGUUCUUUCAGUGAGGAGGCGUUACCCGCAGAAGAAGCACCGGCUAACUCCGUGCCAGCAGCCGCGGUAAUAC